rnacentral:lncRNA from 1 species
UGUUACACACGGGUAAAGUUUUAGGACCGUAGGAUUGUCAUCAAAUUGCUUUGAUUAGUGUAAAUUGUUCACUGCAAUACAAAAAUCAUUAACUAAAUGAAAUAAAUGUUCUUGUCUUGAAAAAUACUCCAACAACAAAAAUAUUCUACGCAACAAAAGAAGGUUCUGCUUAAUAAAAUUAAUGUUCCAAGUUACAGCAAAAAAAUAUGUUCCCCUCGAUAAAAAAAAUUGUGUCAACCUUAUGACAAGUAUUCUAGAUUACAACGGAAAAUGUUUGCUUAAUAAAAAAUGUUUUAUCCACACGUGGAAAAACAUGAUUUUUAAAAUAAAAUUAAGAUCUCGACAAUUCAACAUAAAUCUAAUGGUCCAACUUCCAAGAGGUGACUUGCGCAUAUGAAAGAAAUUAGUCAAGUCACAGGGAUCCCACCGCAAUCCCACUUUGAUGGUAUCACAUUGACUAGUCACAUUUUAAUUUGUUACACGCGCAUUGUCUGUGGAAAAUUUGACUUGACUUGACUCCAAGAGGUGACUUGACUUGGCUUGACUUGACUUGACUCCAAGAGGUGAUUUGACUUGGCACUUGGCACCUUCCCAAGAAGCUUCUUCCCUUCCGGUUUUUGAUUUGUUUUGAGUCAAGCAUUUUACCAAAUCCAAGAUAGUGACAUGGGAUUCAUAAACGCGUCCGAGGCUCCUAUUUGAACAUAUACAUAUAGAGAGCUCCUGGAACCACAAUUCUCGGUUCUCAUACGAUGAUGUUGGGGUGCCCUUCCUUCCGUAUUACAUUUUUUCUCGUGAUCCAGCUAAUUCUUAUCAGCAUGAGCAGCCUCAUUGCCCCAGCAGCCUCGAGACCCGCUGGAUGUAAGUGCUAAACUAAAUAUUUGUUUUUACUAUAAUUUUUACAGAAGUAUGUAUUGUAACCUUGGACGACAAGCUGAUCCAAGGUUAUGGAUUUUGAUCUCCGAGUUUUUACAUGCAUUUGAUCAAGAGCAGAGACAGAGAUAAUAGAUUGAUGGUUUGUUUGAAUCACCCUAGGUUUGAAAUCUGUCCAUGACAUGUCUCUACUUUCAUAAUUAAGCACCUCUCUUACACUUUCACCUCUCCGGGCUCUCUAUAUAGAAUAAUAUCAACCAAUGCUAUGUUUGGGUGAGGCUUUUAAGGUGUCACAAAUCUGUUUAUACCACUAAAAGGUAGGACUAACCCAUCAACAUUUAGCAACAUGGGUUGAAACUAGAAAACUAGUGAGGCUCCUUUUAGGGCUAAUGCCCUCAAGUACUUACCCCAAAUAACGGCACAUAAAGUACCGAGGAUCUCUCGGUGUAAUAGUGAUCAUGCCUUAUCACCUCACAAUAGUAAUGUUAAUUUUCCUCCGUUGUUCCAAACCUCAUGUUAAAGUUUAGGUCUUUCUUUCCUUUCUUGAACUAACAUGCAAGUUGCAAAAAUGAAAAAAAACAUUUGUUUAUGGAACAAAUUUAUGUUUUAUUUUGUAUCAUGUAAAUAAAUUGAGACAAAGUCUGAAGUAUUGUAAAGAGUGUAUAUAUAGAUGACAUAUUUUCCUUUUGGAUCUUGGUGCAGGCAGUUGGGGCCCCUUUUUAACUACAUGCCCAAGAGACCCUCCAGUAACGAGCUGCCCUCGGCCGCCCUGUCGACAUGGCUGAUCCAUGAAUAUAUGAAUUUAUACAGGUGUCAUUGAUAAUCGCGUCAAUAGAUUCGAUGUUUUCCAAAUUUCAUGUUAUACGGGUUGUUGUCUUGUCUCAAAUUAAAUAUGUACGUUACGUACAAUCCUAUAUCACUUCUUGCGUUGAUGUAUAUAUCAAUAAAUCAUUUUUUAGAGACGUAUCAAUAUUUGAUCACUUCAUAUACGUAAAAUCUAUCUCCACUUUCAAAUUAAUAUAUGUGAACUCUACUCUUAAUAUUAUUAUCUAAUACUCAGAGGCUUAUAUCUAUACUCACAUAUAUAAAAUCUAUCUUAUAUGUAAUAUCUUUUUAAGGUACUUUUCAGACCGUGUAACCAAAUGGUACAUUUAAAAUAUCAUAGGCCUGUAACUAUGCGUGAGGAGGAAAUUCACGCUCAAAGUAUGAGCUCAAGAGAACCCUCCAGCAGUACGUUGUUAAGGUGAACUGGUCUUCCAUCUUGGUGCUUUUGUUCUUGUUGACUUUAGAUCCGGGACUAAAGUGCUUUUAGUCCCGGUUCAAAAAUAACCCACCGAAGGCCACCGAGGGGUGGGACUUUAGUCCCGGUUGUAACGGCUAAAAAAUCUAGCAUCGACACCCCCUGUCCCGGUUGGAAAUUCCAACCGGGACAAAAGGCCCUCCCCC